AUUGAACGCUGGCGGCAGGCUUAACACAUGCAAGUCGAGCGGGGUGAUGGUGCUUGCACUAUCACUUAGCGGCGGACGGGUGAGUAAUGCUUAGGAAUCUGCCUAUUAGUGGGGGACAACAUCUCGAAAGGGAUGCUAAUACCGCAUACGUCCUACGAGAGAAAGCAGGGGAUCACUUGUGACCUUGCGCUAAUAGAUGAGCCUACGUCGGAUUAGCUAGUUGGUGGGGUAAAGGCCUACCAAGGCGACGAUCUGAAGCGGGUCGGAGAGGAUGAUCCGCCACACCGGGACUGAGACACGGCCCAGACUCCUACGGGAGGCAGCAGUGGGGAAUAUUGGACAAUGGGGGGAACCCUGAUCCAGCCAUGCCGCGUGUGUGAAGAAGGCCUUAUGGUUGUAAAGCACUUUAAGCGAGGAGGAGGCUCUUUUGGUUAAUACCCAAGAUGAGUGGACGUUACUCGCAGAAUAAGCACCGGCUAACUCUGUGCCAGCAGCCGCCGUAA
rnacentral:rRNA from 1 species